AAAAGGGGUGCCACAGCACCACAACCACUACAGUGCACUGUAGUGGUUAUGGUGCUUGCGGUGUUCCUUAA